GUCCAGACUCCUACGGGAGGCAGCAGUGGGGAAUAUUGCACAAUGGGGGAAACCCUGAUGCAGCGACGCCGCGUGAGUGAAGAAGUAAUUCGUUAUGUAAAGCUCUCUCAGCAGGGAAGAAAAUGACGGUACCUGAGUAAGAAGCCCCGGCUAACUACGUGCCAGCAGCCGCGGUAAUACGUAGGGGGCAAGCGUUAUCCGGAUUUACUGGGUGUAAAGGGGGCGCAGACGGCGAUGCAAGCCAGGAGUGAAAGCCCGGGGCCCAACCCCGGGACUGCUCUUGGAACUGCGUGGCUGGAGUGCAGGAGGGGCAGGCGGAAUUCCUGGUGUAGCGGUGAAAUGCGUAGAUAUCAGGAGGAACACCGGUGGCGAAGGCGGCCUGCUGGACUGCAACUGACGUUGAGGCCCGAAAGCGUGGGGAGCAAACAGGAUUAGAUACCCGCGUAA
rnacentral:rRNA from 1 species